UGGGGAAUUUUGGACAAUGGGCGAAAGCCUGAUCCAGCAAUGCCGCGUGUGUGAAGAAGGCCUUCGGGUUGUAAAGCACUUUUGUCCGGAAAGAAAUCCUUGGCUCUAAUACAGUCGGGGGAUGACGGUACCGGAAGAAUAAGCACCGGCUAACUACGUGCCAGCAGCCGCGGUAAUACGUAGGGUGCAAGCGUUAAUCGGAAUUACUGGGCGUAAAGCGUGCGCAGGCGGUUUGCUAAGACCGAUGUGAAAUCCCCGGGCUCAACCUGGGAACUGCAUUGGUGACUGGCAGGCUAGAGUAUGGCAGAGGGGGGUAGAAUUCCACGUGUAGCAGUGAAAUGCGUAGAGAUGUGGAGGCAUACCGAUGGCGAAGGCAGCCCCCUGGGCCAAUACUGACGCUCAUGCACGAAAAGCGUGGGGAGCAAAACAGGAUUAGAUACCCUGGUAGUCCACGCCCUAAACGAUGUCAACUAGUUGUUGGGGAUUCAUUUCCUUAGUAACGUAGCUAACGCGUGAAGUUGACCGCCUGGGGAGUACGGUCGCAAGAUUAAAACUCAAAUGAAUUGACGGGGUCAUAGCUGUUUCCU
rnacentral:rRNA from 1 species